UGCUUGUUCUGCCCACUAUGACUCAUUUGUUCCCAAUUGAAAGGACAGACUGUUGUCUAGCUUGGUUUUGUUAUUAAAAAAAAUAUUCGAUUAAAUGUUGUAAUAGCAAGUACUUCUCUGCAGCUGUCACCACAACACCUAUUUUCUGUGACUUAAGGUCCAUUCCUACGGUACAGUUGAUAACCAUGACCGCUUCAAAGCCAACCUUACUGAAGUCAAUUUCAUUCAUUAUCUUAUCACUCUGUGCAGUUUCACCACGCUCUCCACCGGGGUCAGUGUCGCACCAGACGGCGGGCAUCAUCGGCCCCGGGAAUCUUCCGUUUCACCCCUGCCUUUACACAGGAACAGUGGGUAAACUGCCUUGUUCAGGGGCAGAACGACAGAUUUGUACCUUGUCAGCUCAGGAUUCGAUCUUGCAACCUUUCGGUAACUAGUCCAAUAAGCUCCAUGGCAGGAUGUGUGGAAUUGCAGGAGACUAGCUUUGAAACUGCAAAAAUGUCUCUUCGCUACCAAGAUAACUUUUUUUACUUAUUCUUUGGUCUGAAUGUUUUUUCACCACUCAACCCUUAUGGUGGGUCGCGACUCAAAAUACCCCUCCCCUACACUAAUUACAAUUUGCAUACCGCCCCCAAAAGAUCCAUGGAUAAUGUGAUCGCCAUCGCACUGCACACAGCCCUAUCCCAUCUGGACAAGAAGAAUACCUGUGUAAGAAUGCUGUUCAUCGGCUACAGCUCAGGCUUCUACGCCAUAAUGCCCUCCAAGCUCAUCACUAAGCUUGGGAAUCUUCGUCUGAAACCCGCCCUCUGCAACUGGGUCUUGGACUUGCUGACCCUCUGCCACACUGAUCCACAACACAGGAGCCCCACAAGGGGACGUGCUCAGCUCCCUCCUGUACUCAGCAUAGAGAGCACACCCCCGUCCACAUCGAUGAGGCCUUAGUGGAAAGGUUGAAAAGCAUCAUGUUCCUCAGCAUGCACAUCCCUGACAAUCUGAAAUGGUCCAUCCACACAGACAGUGUAGUGAAGAAAGUGCAACAGCGCUUGGCCCCUCAGACCCUCACGAACUUCUAAAGAUGCACCGUUGAGAGCAUCUUGUCAGGCUGUAUCACCGCCUGGUACAGCAAUUGCACAUUCCUCAACCGUAGGGCUCUCCAGAGGGUGGUGCGGUCAGCCCAACGCAUCACCGGGGGGCACACUUCCUACCCACCAGGACAUACAUUAUACAGCACCCAGUGUCACAGGAAGGCCAAGAAGAGUAUCAAGGACCUCCGCCACCGGAGCCACGGCCUGUUCACCACACUACCAUCUAGAAGGCAGAGACAGUACAGGUGCAUCAAAGCUUGGACCGAGAGACUGAAUAACAGUUUCUAUCUCAAGGCCAUCAGACUGUUAAAUAGUCAACACAAGCUGGCCUCCGACAAGUCUACUACCCUGAACUUAGUCACUGUUACUAGCCGGUUACCAUCUGGUACUCAACCCUGCACCUUAGAGACUGCUGUCCUAUGUACAUAGUCAUUGAACACUGGUCACUUUAAUCAUCUUUACAUACUUUUUUUACGCACUUCAUAUGUAUAUACUGUAUUCUAGUCGAGGCUCAUCUUAUAUAACUGCUGCUGUAAACAUAUUUUCUAUUCAUAUAUUGUCCAUAAUGUCUAUACACACCAUCAUAUACAGUAUGUGUGUAUGCGACUAAUACAUUUGAUAUGAUUUGAAUUGAAAACGCACAUAAUCUAACGCCUGCCUCAGACCACUCGUAGAACAGCUAAGUGCAUCGUUUGAUGCUUCGUUUUUCUGCCCUCCCUUGUCACUUUUAUACACAGAAGAGCUCUGCCAAACAUAGAAUCAAUCACAUGGUUUAUCCACCUCUCUCUGACCUCCAAUAACUUCAAAACAAAGUUGCCAAUGUCUUUGCACUAGAUACAAACCAGCAACGUAUAAAAUGAUGGUUCAUGCAAGACAAAGUGAGUUAGCAAUAGCAUCACCUGCCCAUGUGGGAAAGCCUACAUAAGAUAAAUGCCAAGACGAUUAAAACAACGCAUAGCUGAACACCGCAGCUCAAUCAGGUGUAAGAACACUGACUAUCCAGUAGCAGCUCACAUCCUAUCUCUUCCCUCAAAUACACAGGUAUCGAGCAUGUUACCCUACCAAGGAGAGGCGGUAACAUUGAGACCCUACUACUACAGAGGGAGGCCUCCUGGUUAUCCUAACCAACAUUGACCCCUAGUGGUCUGAAUAUUGCCUUUGAUCUCAGGCCCUUCUUAUGAACAAUCCUCUUUUUUAUUAACAAGUCUUAUAAAUGAAUAUAUUAUUUCUACAGCUUAUCAGGGUACACCCAAUAUGUUCCCCCUGUUGAUGAGGCUUAUAAUGCAUUAUGGUUGAACCAAAACGAUACAAAUUAAAUGAAAUUGGAAACAAUUAAAUAUAUAUGUGAAAUUAAAUUAAACAAUAAUGUAUGUAGAUGCUAAUAUUAUGUACAAUAUCUAAUUAUGUUGCCAUUUGAUAACAAUAGCCUAGUAUAUUCAACAUGCUGUAAAUUACUGUCUUGUAACAGUUUCACUUGAUAGCCUUCAAUAUUGACUGUUCUAGAGAAUUUUAAACCGUUUUUUGUUUGAACAUAGUAUAUGGGAUUGAUUUUAAGAAAUUUAGUGGAGAUUCAGUGAAAAUAAAAAUCUCAUUCAUUUGUCAAGACCUGUCCCCAUGCUUGUCUCAGAGCAGAACAGAACGGUGCUGAAAUAGUUGACCACAGUGGGUAGGCUAUCGCUUCAAAUCCUAUUGCUUCUAACUUCAAUAUGUUUUAUAAAUAAAUAAGACCGUUAACAGCACAUUACUCAAAACUAGUGAGACUCAUGUCGCCAACAGUAUAGCUUUUUAAAAAAAAAAUUAAAUGACGUGACUCUUAGCCAAUAAUUAGGUUUAGAGGAUUGGAGGAUUUUAAAUGAAUAUCUAAAUGGCAUAUCUAAGGGCAAAUCUGAUCUGUGAGAAUAUCUAAGUGGCUUUUAUAUAAUUAUAAAUGAAUUAAUAAUAAUAAUAAUAAUCGCUUUGUUUUAAAAGUAAUAUUUUGGAGAUUUCAUUUUCAAAUAACCUAAAGUGAGUGAGAAAAUGUCCAUUCUUGUAAAUGGGGUGAGACAUUGUUACUAAUUUUUAAAUAAAGCCAGUUUAUUUAUUUCUGUUUUUAGAGGGAGAGAGCCCACCGUCAAUUCAUGAAUCUCCCGGUGACGGCCGGCACGGGUAUCGAACCAGCAACUGUAGCAACGUCACUGAGAGUGAGUGUCUUACACCGCAGCGCCACUCGGAAGGUCCCAUCCUCAAAUUUUUUAUGCUGAUCAAUUGCCUUGCACAAAGUAUCUAUUGUCCUGCUAAUAGCCCAUAAUGGCGCUGUAAAUCGUGACUGGUCGGGAGUAGGCUACAGUACUACAGUAAGAGCAAAAUAAUCCUAACAUUUCCACACCCUAAUUGUAGAUUAGCCAAUACCCAAAUGGAGAUUCAGUGAAAAUAAACAUCUUUUUGAUUUAUCAAGACCUGUCCCCAUGCUUGUCUCCCUAUGUCUGACCUCUGAAUGCUGUCUAAGCUAUAUGUUUUGAAGAGUAUUUUCCAGUAAGCAACACUUUGUUUACCUUCAUUAGCCUACUUUGUUCCAUUAUUUCUGUCAUUCAGUGAUAUUUAUUCCCAUAGUAAUUUGUUAUGAAUUUCUAAGGAGAUUAACAUCUGCAUUUUGAAAGAGUAUUUUUAUAAUUAUUUAUUAACUAAAGCACAAAGAUGUUGAUGUAGAAAUAUAGUACUGUACAGUUUAUGAUUUAUCUGACAUUUUUGCAGGCAGCAGCGUAGCCUAGUGGUUAGAG
ensembl:lncRNA